CGGUGAAUACGUUCCCGGACCUUGCACACACCGCCCGUCAAGCCAUGAAGCUGGGUGUACCUAAAGUCGGUAACCGUAAGGAGCCGCCUAGGGUAAAACUAGUGACUGGGGCUA
rnacentral:rRNA from 1 species